CAGUCGCCACGGUAAUACAGAGGGUGCGAGCGUUAAUCGGAACUACUGGGCGUAAAGGGCGCGUAGGCGGUUAGGAAGGUGUGAUGUGAAAGCCCUGGGCUUAACCUAGGAAGUGCAUCGCAAACCAGCUAGCUGGAGUAUAAGAGAGGGUGGCGGAAUUUCCGGUGUAGCGGUGAAAUGCGUAGAGAUCGGAAGGAACGUCAAGGGCGAAGGCAGCCACCUGGCUUAAUACUGACGCUGAGGCGCGAAAGCGUGGGGAGCGAACAGGAUUAGAUACCCGAGUAGUCCCUGUCUCUUAUAC
rnacentral:rRNA from 1 species